rnacentral:rRNA from 1 species
AGAGUUUGAUCCUGGCUCAGAACGAACGCUGGCGGCGUGGAUAAGACAUGCAAGUCGAGCGCUGAUUCCGGGGUAGCAAUAUUCCGGGGUCGGAGCGGCGCAAGGGUGCGUAACACGUGGGUAAUCUGCCGUGAAGUUUGGGAUAACUUGCUGAAAGGCGAGCUAAUACCGGAUGUGACCACCGGGAGGCAUCUCCUGGUGGUUAAAGUUGGGGACCGUAAGGCCUGACGCUUCAUGAUGAACCCGCGGCCUAUCAGCUAGUUGGUGAGGUAACGGCCCACCAAGGCUAAGACGGGUAGCUGGUCUGAGAGGACGACCAGCCACACUGGAACUGAGACACGGUCCAGACACCUACGGGUGGCAGCAGUCGAGAAUUUUUCACAAUGGGCGCAAGCCUGAUGGAGCGACGCCGCGUGGGGGAUGAAUGGCUUCGGCCCGUAAACCCCUGUCAUUCGCGAUCAAACGUUAUUAUUUAAAAGAUGAUGACCUGAUAGUAGCGGAAGAGGAAGGGACGGCUAACUCUGUGCCAGCAGCCGCGGUAAUAC